rnacentral:rRNA from 1 species
UCUGGAAACUNUCUGACUUGAGUGCAGAAGGGGAGAGUGGAAUUCCAUGUGUAGCGGUGAAAUGCGUAGAUAUAUGGAGGAACACCAGUGGCGAAAGCGGCUCUCUGGUCUGUCACUGACGCUGAGGCUCGAAAGCGUGGGUAGCGAACAGGAUUAGAUACCCUGGUAGUCCACGCCGUAAACGAUGAGUGCUAGGUGUUAGGCCCUUUCCGGGGCUUAGUGCCGGAGCUAACGCAAUAAGCACUCCGCCUGGGGAGUACGACCGCAAGGUCGAAACUCAAAGGAAUUGACGGGGGCCCGCACAAGCGGUGGAGCAUGUGGUUUAAUUCGAAGCAACGCGAAGAACCUUACCAGGUCUUGACAUCCCGAUGCUAUUCUUAGAGAUAGGAAGUUACUUCGGUACAUCGGAGACAGGUGGUGCAUGGUUGUCGUCAGCUCGUGUCGUGAGAUGUUGGGUUAAGUCCCGCAACGAGCGCAACCCUUAUUGUUAGUUGCCAUCAUUAAGUUGGGCACUCUAGCGAGACUGCCGGUAAUAAACCGGAGGAAGGUGGGGAUGACGUCAAAUCAUCAUGCCCCUUAUGACCUGGGCUACACACGUGCUACAAUGGUCGGUACAACGAGUUGCGAGCCGGUGACGGCAAGCUAAUCUCUGAAAGCCGAUCUCAGUUCGGAUUGGAGGCUGCAACUCGCCUCCAUGAAGUCGGAAUCGCUAGUAAUCGCGGAUCAGCACGCCGCGGUGAAUACGUUCCCGGGCCUUGUACACACCGCCCGUCACACCACGAGAGUUAGUAACACCCGAAGUCGGUGAGGUAACCUUUUAGGAGCCAGCC